rnacentral:tRNA from 1 species
GCCCGAGUAGCUCGUCUGGUCAGAGCACCGGUCUUGUAAACCGGAGGCAGUGGGUUCGAUUCCCACCUCGGGCU